UAAUGAAAGUACAAAAAGAAAGACCUGUUUAAGCAGGUCUUUCUAAACAAGCCGCUUCAAAGACGGUGACAAAAAUUACAAAACUUUCAAA
rnacentral:sRNA from 1 species